rnacentral:rRNA from 1 species
UACAGAGGGGGCAAGCGUUGUUCGGAAUUACUGGGCGUAAAGGGCGCGUAGGCGGCCCGCUAAGUCGAACGUGAAAUCCCCGAGCUCAACUCGGGAACUGCGUCCGAUACUGGCGGGCUUGAAUCCGGGAGAGGGAUGCGGAAUUCCAGGUGUAGCGGUGAAAUGCGUAGAUAUCUGGAGGAAUACCGGUGGCGAAGGCGGCAUCCUGGACCGGCAUUGACGCUGAGGAGCGAAAGCGAGGG